AGCGAACGCUGGCGGCAGGCUUAACACAUGCAAGUCGAACGGGCACUUCGGUGCUAGUGGCAGACGGGCGAGUAACACGUGGGAACGUACCUUUUGGUUCGGAAUAAUUCAGGGAAACUUGGACUAAUACCGGAUACGCCCUUCGGGGGAAAGAUUUAUCGCCGAAAGAUCGGCCCGCGUCUGAUUAGCUAGUUGGUGAGGUAAUGGCUCACCAAGGCGACGAUCAGUAGCUGGUCUGAGAGGAUGAUCAGCCACACUGGGACUGAGACACGGCCCAGACUCCUACGGGAGGCAGCAGUGGGGAAUAUUGGACAAUGGGCGCAAGCCUGAUCCAGCCAUGCCGCGUGUGUGAUGAAGGCCUUAGGGUUGUAAAGCACUUUUGUCCGGGAAGAUAAUGACUGUACCGGAAGAAUAAGCCCCGGCUAACUUCGUGCCAGCCGCCGCCGUAACAC
rnacentral:rRNA from 1 species